GAGUUGGUACAUAUGACACUCAGGUGUUUCUCUAACUUCACUUCCCUAACAAUAAUUUGAAUUUCUCAAUUUGUUACCCAACUCUUGAAUGUUGGUUGAACUUAUCUCUGGAUUUGAUGACUAGAUGUAAUAUAGUGCACACCUUUAGAAAUUCUAAAAUAAUGCAAUGAAUUUAGCUAUUGGGUUCCUUUUCUCAAGUUUUCAAAUUUUACUAUUUGUUGAAAAUACUGUUUGCCAAAAUUUAGUAAUUCAUUGUUGUAUCCAUUCAUUUGUAGUUGGUGGAGCACUUUUUCCAGUCUUUAGUGAAUACUUCCGGUAUGACACUUCACAUUCGGC
rnacentral:misc_RNA from 1 species